UACGUAGAGUGCGAGCGUUAAUCGGAAUUACUGGGCGUAAAGCGUGCGCAGGCGGUUUUGCAAGCCGGAUGUGAAAUCCCCGGGCUCAACCUGGGAAUGGCAUUCGGGACUGCAAGGCUGGAGUGCGGCAGAGGGAGACUGGAAUUCCUGGUGUGAGCAGUGAAAUGACGUAGAUAUCAGGAGGAAUACCGAUGGCGAAGGCAGGUCUCUGGGCUGACACUGACGCUCAUGCACGAAAGCGUGGGGAGCAAAACGG
rnacentral:rRNA from 1 species